UACGGAGGGUGCGAGCGUUGUCCGGAAUCAUUGGGCGUAAAGGGCGCGUAGGUGGCCCGGUCAGUCUUUGGUGAAAGCGCGGGGCUCAACCCUGCGUCGGCCAGGGAUACUGCCGCGGCUCGAGCACUGUAGAGGCAGGCGGAAUUCCGGGUGUAGCGGUGGAAUGCGUAGAGAUCCGGAAGAACACCGGUGGCGAAGGCGGCAUCCUGGACCGGCAUUGACGCUGAGGCGCGAAAGCCAGGGGAGCAAACGGG
rnacentral:rRNA from 1 species